AUUUCCAGUUAAUUUAUUGAGAGAAGAUGAGUUAGUCUCUUUCGGAAUUGGGGAGCCCCCUCCUGGGAGGAGUAUGAAAAGAGAGGAAGACAGCUGCUGGGUAUGGAAACUUUCAAAUGCAUAAGGAAGCAGCGUAUGAGGUCACAGAAUAAAGUAAAUGGGUUUUAUACAUGUUGGAUCAUUGAAACCACAGUUAAAGAUUUAACCAUGUGAAUCAAUUAGGCUUGAUGGUCUAGCUACAAGAUUACUCUCUGCUCUAAAGGGAUUUCUACUAAGACCCAUCUGAUUUACUGAACUGUUUAGAUGGGAAAAUAUUUUUAAAUUACUUAGUGCACUAGGUCAACAAGGAUGACUUCUGUACAUACCUGCAGCUACAGUAUUUGGAGCAAGCUAAUGCUUUGGCCUGACAGAAAGAGGUUUUCUUUCUGCUGCCUGCUGUGCUGCAGAGGCUGUCAUAUGGGGGUCCCAUGCUGCGCAUUCUCUCUAUGCCUGAUGACACCUUAAUCAUGAUCAGAGAAGAUGGAGCUAUUUAUUUUUGGUCCCUGCAGCUGAAGUUGAAAAGAAGAAAGCGGGUUUUUGUAUGUGAUUUUCAUUUGAUAAGGAUGCUGAGUGCUACAGUUUGAUUUUAUUUGCUAUUUUAAACUGCUCCUUAAGUGGCGUGAUUACAUAAAUUGUGUCCUUGAAUAUAAUAUAUUCAUGUUGGAUUUCGCUAGUCUAUGGAAUGCAAAUAAAAUAUGAUCUCUGUAUGUCGUA